rnacentral:lncRNA from 1 species
CUGGCUGUGGAGCCUUUGGUUGGGGGUUCGAUCCCCCACUGUACCUGGACUGGACAAUCUGUCGGGUCCCUUCCAGCUCCCCGGUUCCAAGAUAUACAGGAAUCAUCACUUUGUCCCAGGAAAUGGGAUAACAUUCCAGGCCAUCCUGCUUGUUGUUUCUCUGUUAGGAAUCUUGCUUGUUAAUAGUGUUGACUCUGGCACCCCCUGCUGCCGUCCCGGCGCUUAAUAUGGAUGCCAAGGAUGGGGCUUGUUUGUUUUCUGUAGAGGCAUCCAUCUUUCUCCCGGUUACCUCAGGCACAGAAUGUGGCAGGAUCUCCUCUCACCGGCCCAAAGGCUCAAAUUUUGGCCCCAACCCAGUUCCUGCCUCCAAAUGCAUUUCCUUCUUCGGGUGAAGCUCUGAGUGUCGGUGCCGGAACCGCAGGGUCGUUGGCUAUGCAGGCAGGAAUCUCACAGGGCCAGUUUCCUGGUGCAGCUGUUCCUCCCCUCAGACCACACUACGGCCGGCUCUCCGACCCUGCGCUUCCCGCCGCCGUUCCUUCGGCCAGCGUGCUCGUUCCUUGGCCCCAGGCUCCUCUCUGGUUUGCCGCUCCGCAGGCAGCGGUCGCUGCUGGUCAGACAGGACCGAAAUCCUUCGUUGGCAUGAUACCCAUCCCAGCAGCCGGCCUGGAUCCGGUUGUGGCAUGGACGCCAAGCGUGCUUUCCUUGAGGCAACCAAGAGAGAGAAACAGGGGCGUAAAUAGCAGCGCAGCUCAUGACCCCAGGGCGGUCUCCGCCUGCGCCAAUCCCGGGACUGUUUUGGCUCCUGUCAGCUCUGGACCCUUAGCCCAGGCCGGUAAGGCUUCCACGUGACUGAGUCACACAGACCUGGAAGCAGCAGUGGUUAAAACGAGGCCAAGUCCCUUCAGAAGAGAUCUUGAUUUGGUCUAGAGUGAUGGUUCUGGAUCUUCUUCGACUACAACUCCCAGAAAUCCUGGCCAAUACAGCGAAUGGUGAAGGCUUCUGGGAGUUUUAGUCCAAGGUUGGGAACCACAGAUCUAGAGUGACAGUACUCAGUUCAGUUUGUGCCCCCAAACUCAAGUCAGUUUUGGUAGCAGGGAAGGCUAAGUCCUCUCACUGCCUUACGUUGGAAAACUGAGAAAGGUAUCCCUUUUUUUUAAUUUUUUGCCGACUUCUUUCUGGAAACUUGAUGGACCUAAAUUUGGGAGUCAACCACCCCACCCCCAAAUUUUAUACCACUUUAACCCUUUUGGCACCUCAUCUGCUAAAGUAGACAUCUCAAACGACUGGGGAAACCAACCAAGUGCAACAGCCUUAGUUUAAUCGUUUUUUACUCUUAGAGAGAGUUUAUUUCUUUUGUUUGUUUGAUUUAUAGACUCCUCUUGCCU